rnacentral:rRNA from 1 species
GAUGAAUGCUGGCGGCGUGCCUAACACAUGCCAGUCGAGCGGCAGCGAGGGGUGCUUGCACCCUGUCGGCGAGCGGCGAACGGCUGAGUAACGCGUAGGAAUUUGCCCCAAAGUGAGGAAUAACUGCCCGAAAGGGUAGCUAAUGCCGCAUAUGGUCUUCGGAUUAAAGGAUUUAUCCGCUUUGGGAGAAGCCUGCGUUGGAUUAGGUUGUUGGUAGGGUAAUGGCCUACCAAGCCGACGAUCCAUAGCUGGUCUGAGAGGAUGAUCAGCCAGACUGGAACUGAGACACGGUCCAGACUCCUACGGGAGGCAGCAGUGAGGAAUCUUCCACAAUGGGCGAAAGCCUGAUGGAGCAACGCCGCGUGAAGGAUGAAGGCCUUCGGGUUGUAAACUUCUUUUAUGAGUGAAGAAUAUGACGGUAACUCAUGAAUAAGCACCGGCUAACUACGUG